rnacentral:lncRNA from 1 species
UCUUGACAGAAUGAUGAAGAAAAGCCAAAGCUUCUCCAGUUGAAUUUCAUGGUGGUGACUUUGUUGACAGAAGAACAACUUUCUCUUGGAGGCAUCAGCUAAGACUAUCCUUUCAGAGCCUUUAAUCAGGGGGAUAUAUAUGUUCUCCACUGUAUAGAGAACCAAGAGGGGGAAUUGGCUAUUCCUGGACAAAAGUCACGCAGAGCUUCCUGAUGGCCUCCUGUCACAAGGUUCACCUUGGAGAAGGAUUAAUGCUUCUGAGAUGGAGGUUUCUUUGCUGUUAGGGUGAAACCAUGAGUGCCUGCAACUCUCUUU